rfam:Myotis lucifugus cont2.60688, whole genome shotgun sequence.
GCCAGUUUGGCUCAGUGGAUAGAGCAUCAGCCUGCAGACUUGAAGGGUGCCAGGUUCGAUUCUGGUCAAGGGCA